rnacentral:tRNA from 1 species
GCCGGAUUAGUAUAACGGUAAUACAGGCCCUUGGUAAGGGUCAGCCGGCAGUUCAACUCUGCCAUCCGGCACCA